rnacentral:rRNA from 1 species
GCCAGCAGCCGCGGUAAUUCCAGCUCCAAUAGCGUAUAUUAAAGUUGUUGCAGUUAAAAAGCUCGUAGUUGAAACUUGGGUCUGGCUGGCAGGUCCGCCUCACCGCGUGUACUUGUCCGGCCGGGCCUUCCUUCUGGAGAACCUCAUGCCCUUCACUGGGCGUGUUGGGGACCAGGACUUUUACUUUGAAAAAAUUAGAGUGUUCAAAGCAGGCCUUUGCUCGAAUACGUUAGCAUGGAAUAAUAGAAUAGGACGUGCGGUUCUAUUUUGUUGGUUUCUAGGACCGCCGUAAUGAUUAAUAGGGACAGUCGGGGGCAUCAGUAUUCAAUUGUCAGAGGUGAAAUUCUUGGAUUUAUUGAAGACUAACUACUGCGAAAGCAUUUGCCAAGGAUGUUUUCAUUAAUCAGUGAACGAAAGUUAGGGGAUCGAAGACGAUCAGAUACCGUCGUAGUCUUAACCGUAAACUAUGCCGACUAGGGAUCGGGCGAUGUUCUUUUUUUUGACUCGCUCGGCACCUUACGAGAAA